rnacentral:rRNA from 1 species
UACGUAGGGUGCGAGCGUUAAUCGGAAUUACUGGGCGUAAAGCGUGCGCAGGUGGCCGCGCAAGUCGAGUGUGAAAUCCCCGAGCUUAACUUGGGAAUUGCGCUCGAAACUACGUGGCUCGAGUGUGGCAGAGGAAGGUGGAAUUCCACGUGUAGCGGUGAAAUGCGUAGAGAUGUGGAGGAACACCGAUGGCGAAGGCAGCCUUCUGGGACAACACUGACGCUCAUGCACGAAAGCGUGGGGAGCAAACAGG